rnacentral:lncRNA from 1 species
CCGGGUACCGAGGUAGCCACGAGUUCUACCAUCGCCUUGAUUGUGAACAAAGAUCAAAGAAAGAAAGAUAAAGAGAGGGAGGAAAAUAUAGCCAAAAUGAUGACACAAUUGGACCUCUUUGCAAAGCAUGUGAUAGGUACACCCGCAAAAUCGGUUAAUGUCGUGGUCUCUAAAGGGUAUGAUGAGGAUGAGGCAAAGGCCAUUGAUGAAGAAAUAAUAUACUUGGCAAACUAUCCACGGGGUUUUCCCGGCCUAUCAAAGGAAAAGAGGGAACUAAGGUUAGAAUAAUUAUAAUCGAGAGAGGGAAUAGCGUAAUAGAGAUAGAGAUCAUGAUUAGAGGGAUAAAGAAAGGGAGUAUGAUAGAUAUGUAUCCCCCCCC